GAUGAACGCUGGCGGCGUGCUUAACACAUGCAAGUCGAACGAGAAAUGUAGACGGAAACCUUCGGGCGGAAGCCUUCAUUUCGAGUGGCGGGCGGGUGAGUAACGCGUGGGUAACCUGCCUCAUACAGGGGGAUAACAGUUUGAAACGACUGUUAAUACCGCAUAAGACCACAGCAUCGCAUGAUGCGGGGGUAAAAACUCCGGUGGUAUGAGAUGGACCCGCGUUCGAUUAGCCAGUUGGCGGGGUAACGGCCCACCAAAGCGACGAUCGAUAGCCGAUCUGAGAGGAUGACCGGCCACAUUGGGACUGAGACACGGCCCAAACUCCUACGGGAGGCAGCAGUGGGGAAUAUUGGACAAUGGGGGAAACCCUGAUGCAGCGACGCCGCGUGAGUGAAGAAGUACUUCGGUAUGUAAAGCUCUAUCAGCAGGGAAGAAAAUGACGGUACCUGAGUAAGAAGCCCCGGCUAACUACGUG
rnacentral:rRNA from 1 species